rnacentral:rRNA from 1 species
AUUGAACGCUGGCGGCAUGCCUUACACAUGCCAAUCGAACGGUAACGGGCCUUCGGGUGCCGACGAGUGGCGAACGGGUGAGUAAUACAUCGGAACGUGCCCGAUCGUGGGGGAUAACGAGGCGAAAGCUUUGCUAAUACCGCAUACGAUCUACGGAUGAAAGCAGGGGACCGCAAGGCCUUGCGCGGACGGAGCGGCCGAUGGCAGAUUAGGUAGUUGGUGGGAUAAAAGCUUACCAAGCCGACGAUCUGUAGCUGUCUGAGAGGAUGAUCAGCCACACUGGGACUGAGACACGGCCCAGACUCCUACGGGAGGCAGCAGUGGGGAAUUUUGGACAAUGGGCGCAAGCCUGAUCCAGCCAUGCCACGUGCAGGAUGAAGGCCUUCGGGUUGUAAACUGAUUUUGUACGGAACGAAAAGCCUUCUUUUAAUACAGGAGGGUCAUGACGGUACCGUAAGAAUAAGCACCGGCUAACUACGUG